UUCAUGGUGCACAAGGCCCAGUAUCUGUUGCAGAGGAAAUUGUUGAAGUCAACUAGUUGCUUCAAAAUGAAAUCCAUUUAAGAGAGGCUGUUGAAGAGGAGGCCAACAAUCUUAAAAGCCAACUAGUGCAGUUGAAAAAAUCAGAGAGGAUUAUUUCUCAAGAAGACAGAAGAUGGUGAUAAAUCUCAAAUAUAUAGAUCCAACAUAUAUGAUCUGGGCUAUUCCAAUCAAUGCAUCAAAUAAUGUAUGUUGCACAGUCCUUGCUCAGAUUGUUGUUCAUGGUGCAAUGGCUGCAUACACAGGCUUCACUGUGGGACUUGUUAAUGGCAAACAUACUUAUAUACCUUUCCAUGACUUUGGGAUAUGUAUGAUCCCUAAGGUUACUCUCUCUGGUUUCGUGAAUAUAAAUACAACGAUGAUAAUGGCAAUGGUUUAUAUCUUGGGGUGCCACUGAUGUUGGGUAGGUUGUUCUCCCCUUAGUUUUGUAAUUCAUAGUAGUGGUGUUUUUUUUUGGUGAUUUGACUUCUAUUUCUCUAUAUUAUGGAUUGUGUUUCUCCCGUGUUAAGAAAACCAUUUCUAUUGAUAUAUGCCAGCUGCUAUCCCAAUUUUAAUAUCGAAUGCUGAUAUGUUAAUCUCA